rnacentral:rRNA from 1 species
GACGAACGCUGGCGGCGUGCUUAACACAUGCGAGUCGAACGGAAAGGCCCUGCUUUUGUGGGGUGCUCGAGUGGCGAACGGGUGAGUAACACGUGAGUAACCUGCCCUUGACUUUGGGAUAACUUCAGGAAACUGGGGCUAAUACCGGAUAGGAGCUCCUGCUGCAUGGUGGGGGUUGGAAAGUUUCGGCGGUUGGGGAUGGACUCGCGGCUUAUCAGCUUGUUGGUGGGGUAGUGGCUUACCAAGGCUUUGACGGGUAGCCGGCCUGAGAGGGUGACCGGCCACAUUGGGACUGAGAUAGGGCCCAGAAUCCUACGGGAGGCAGCAGUGGGGAAUAUUGCACAAUGGGCGGAAGCCUGAUGCAGCAACGCCGCGUGCGGGAUGACGGCCUUCGGGUUGUAAACCGCUUUCGCCUGUGACGAAGCGUGAGUGACGGUAAUGGGUAAAGAAGCACCGGCUAACUACGUG